GAUGAACGCUAGCGGCAGGCCUAACACAUGCAAGUCGAGGGGUAACUAGAGUGAUAGCAAUAUUACUUUGGCUAGACCGGCGCACGGGUGCGUAACACGUAUGCAACCUACCUUAUACUGGGGAAUAACUUCGAGAAAUCGGCGCUAAUACCCCAUAACAUUGCGAAGAGGCAUCUCUUUGCGAUUAAAGCUCCGGCGGUAUAAGAUGGGCAUGCGUCCAAUUAGCUAGUUGGUGAGGUAACGGCUCACCAAGGCUACAAUUGGUAGGGGUUCUGAGAGGAUGAUCCCCCACACUGGUACUGAGACACGGACCAGACUCCUACGGGAGGCAGCAGUGAGGAAUAUUGCGCAAUGGACGAAAGUCUGACGCAGCCAUGCCGCGUGCAGGAUGACGGCCCUAUGGGUUGUAAACUGCUUUUGUACGGGAAUAAACCCUUCUACGUGUAGGAGGCUGAAGGUACCGUAAGAAUAAGCACCGGCUAACUCCGUGCCAGCCGCCGCCGUAAUAC
rnacentral:rRNA from 1 species